CACUGGCUGGCAUCUCCCGCUUAAUUCUCCGUCUCGCCACUUUGCGUCAACUUGCUGCCACUGCCAGAAGUUUUUUAGCUUCGGAAGGAAAUAAGAGACCUGAACUUUUGCAACAAAGUAUAAUGAGUGUAAAAGUUAGGAAAUGGCCUCUGGUGUGCCCAAGAAACAUGUGCCCGCACUUCUGCGUCGUACCUGAAACGACAAUCAUGGCGGAUGAUUCAAGCAUGGGAAGAGAUGCUUGUUCUUCAAUUAAUGGACGUUAAAUUUUGCCGAGAUUUGCAUUAUUUUACUUUGGCUCACAAAGUCCCAGUUAAAAAACUGAAGUCAAGUUGAAGGUAUUUGAUGAAGGCAGGCGUGAAGUUUUUCACCCAGCUGUUCAACGGCAGAUAAUAAAGCAAAUCUUUUUUCAUCCGAAGGGAUUCUGCUCAUCUCCAUGGUGUUUCUUCGAGGUGAGCCAUAAUUUUGCUGGCGAAAAUUCUGCGAAAUUUAAGUUAAAUUUCAAAUUUAUACUUGCACAAGACUUUGGAUAAAAUUAUUUUUUCAUCACGUCGUUGUCGUUUUUAAUAUAUUUUUUUAGUCAAAUGUUUUUAUAGUUCAAUGAAAGACCUCUUCAAUACAUCAUUUUAAUAUUUUUAGUUUUUAAUAUACCUCAUCAUCUCUGUAAUUUAGGCAAGGCCGUGUCAUAUUUGCCUGAUUUAUCGCUUGUGAGUGUCAAGUACUGUAUUUAAAGCGAAGCAGUGCAAAAUUUGAAAUUAUCAAAAUUAUUUUUAAAAAAAAUGAAAAUUUCACUCCCGUUUCUAAAGGAACUGCAAUCUGUUAACACGGGCGGCACAUCCGCCCACUAAAAAAAUUCCUAAACCUUUUCUGCUCAGGAAAAAAAAUAAUCACUGAAUGCUAAUAAAACAGUACGUUUGAAUUGAAUAUUAUUAAUUUUUAUUAAAAGUUUAGUUUAAAUCUAACUUUACACUCAUUCAUUCAAGCCAUUUUUUCGCUUGAAGAGACAAAAAAAGGUGUACAAGGCCACGCAGUGAAAUGUAUUUCGUGAAUGAUACGUUACAAAUAAGUUUGAACGUUUUAAAAAAAUUUAUCAAUUUC